CCUUCUGAUGGCAGUCCUCACCUGGCCCACUCUCAACCACAAUAAAAGCCCCAAGCCAGUGUGCUUUACCUGCUCUCUGCAGCCAUUCUGGACCAGCCUGAGACUGCUCUGCUCAUCCCAGAGACCUCAAAUUAUAUGUACAAAGAGAUGACUCGUUAAAGAAGAAUGGCCCAUGCUCCAUGUCUAUUCUAGGCCUUUCCAAGUGCAUUCAACCUCUUCAUUAAAAAAGCUGAAACUGAAUAUUUAUGGAAUAUUCCCAAUGCAGGCCAUGGAACCCAACACUGCUGUCCAGACAAACUGGCAAGUCUUAGGCCAGACGGGGUUAUGAUCUGAUGGCGUGAACACAGAGGGCAAAUGGUGACGUUUCUAACGGCAUGAACACAGAGGGCAAAUGGAGAAGUUGCUGCCAGUUAAUCAUCAUGUGUACUUUAGCAGAACCUCUUGGGCUGUGUGAUUCAUGCACUCCUGGGACAUGGAUAAUUCCUGAGAGAUGAGCUAGCCAGCUCCUCAAACCUGAGGACAAUGGGAGGAUGAAUUCUGUGGGCCACUGGAAAGGCCGGAGUGGGCAAUUUUUGAAUUGAUCUUGAAAAGCAUUUUAUCAUUGUAAUAGCUAACAUUCUUGUUGAUUAUGUAGAAUGAAAAAUACCAAAGCAUUUGAACAUUUGA